rnacentral:tRNA from 1 species
GUCGGCGUGGCGGAACUCGGUAGACGCGCAUGGUUGAGGGCCAUGUGGGCUUCGGCCCUUGGGGGUUCAACUCCCCCCGCCGACA